AUUGAACGCUGGCGGCAGGCCUAACACAUGCAAGUCGAGCGGAUGAAGGGAGCUUACUCCUGGAUUCAGCGGCGGACGGGUGAGUAAUGCCUAGGAAUCUGCCUGGUAGUGGGGGAUAACGUCCGGAAACGGGCGCUAAUACCGCAUACGUCCUGAGGGAGAAAGUGGGGGAUCUUCGGACCUCACGCUAUCAGAUGAGCCUAGGUCGGAUUAGCUAGUUGGUGGGGUAAAGGCCUACCAAGGCGACGAUCCGUAACUGGUCUGAGAGGAUGAUCAGUCACACUGGAACUGAGACACGGUCCAGACUCCUACGGGAGGCAGCAGUGGGGAAUAUUGGACAAUGGGCGAAAGCCUGAUCCAGCCAUGCCGCGUGUGUGAAGAAGGUCUUCGGAUUGUAAAGCACUUUAAGUUGAGAGGAAGGGCAGUAAGUUAAUACCUUGCUGUUUUGACGUUACCAACAGAAUAAGCACCGGCUAACUUCGUG
rnacentral:rRNA from 1 species